rnacentral:rRNA from 1 species
AUUGAACGCUGGCGGCAGGCCUAACACAUGCAAGUCGAGCGAGCGGCGGACGGGUGAGUAAUGUCUGGGAAACUGCCUGAUGGAGGGGGAUAACUACUGGAAACGGUAGCUAAUACCGCAUACCAUCAGAUGUGCCCAGAUGGGAUUAUCUAGUAGGGGGGGUAAUGGCUCACCUAGGCGACGAUCCCUAGCUGGUCUGAGAGGAUGACCAGCCACACUGGAACUGAGACACGGUCCAGACCGCUACGGGAGGCAGCAUUGGGGAAUAUGGCACAAUGGGCGCAAGCCUGAUGCAGCCAUGCCGCGUGUGCGAAGAAGGCCGGAGGGUUGUAAAGCACGUUCAGCGGGGAGGCGUUGCCCGCAGAAGAAGCACCGGCUAACUCCGUGCCAGCAGCCGCGGUAAUAC